UACGUAUGGAGCGAGCGUUGUCCGGAAUUAUUGGGCGUAAAGGGUACGCAGGCGGUUUAAUAAGUCGAAUGUUAAAGAUCGGGGCUCAACCCCGUAAAGCAUUGGAAACUGAUAAACUUGAGUAGUGGAGAGGAAAGUGGAAUUCCUAGUGUAGUGGUGAAAUACGUAGAUAUUAGGAGGAAUACCAGUAGCGAAGGCGACUUUCUGGACACAAACUGACGCUGAGGUACGAAAGCGUGGGGAGCAAACAGGAUUAGAUACC
rnacentral:rRNA from 1 species